UAUGGACAUGUGAAAACAUGGAGUAAAGCUUGCCAUAAGAAGUCAGCAGAAGCCAUAGUAGUGACCGCUUGGUCAUGAAGGGC
rnacentral:ncRNA from 1 species